CUUGGUACAAGCUAAGCUGUCACACUUGGUAUCAGUGUCAGACAGAAGGGUAAUACAAGGCUGAGCUUUCCAACACAAACACUGCAUCUGCAAAAGAGUGAAUCUUAUAUUGGUAUUGUCUCUCCUCAGGCAAGUCCUGGAUCCUUCUUUUCUUAGAGCAGCUCAGCAGAGGAGCACAAAGACAUCAGUGCUGGCAUGGCUCACCCAGCAGCACAUCUCUGGAAGAUGCACUGGUGCUCAGGUUGCUAACUAACUCCUUCAGCCAUAGUGCUUAUUUCUCCUGGCAUCUUCAUGGAGUGUAUCCUACGCAAGCUCGUCUUUUCUUGCAAACAAAUAUCAAAGUAAGACUUGGUGUAAAGGUCUGGGGAAUUCUGAGGGCUGAUCUAUGUUUUUGCAUGCUCAGAAGUUGACAGAAUUAGCUGCUUACUCCAUAGGGCUGAAAACAGACAAAAUGGAAUACCUUCUUGCACAAUUAAUAAUUCAUCAAUGGAAGAAAGAGCUUUAGGAUAUCAUUUGGAAUGAAAACUGCUUAACACAAGCCUCCACAAUUCAGUCUGCUACUUACGAAGUUAAAGGAAAGGAUUUUUGCUAGUUGUCCUCCCUUCAGGAAAAAAAACUCCUCCUCUUGACCUUCUGUAUUUAGGAACAGCCUGCAUUUUGGGUAAUUAAAACUGAUGAGCCUGACAAACAUUCAUCUCCAAAGAAAUACUCUACAGUAAACGUAAACUCUCGAGAUCCUUCCAGGCAUACCAGCACAACUGUCUCUUAAAAUUUCUUCCCAAGCCAUCUGGUGCCUUAUCUUUGUAGCCAAGCCAUACAAUAACUUUAAAAGAAGAUUGUUUCUAGAAGGCUUUCGUCUCAGGACUACAGAUCCUCUUGGAAGUCUCACAGCUCACUCUGAAACUGUCAACCAGGCAGUGCGGAUGCUCCACU
rnacentral:lncRNA from 1 species